rnacentral:ncRNA from 2 species
CGUACUGUGCAAACCGACGGUUCCCGCAAGGGAUUAAUCGGGAAUGCGGUGCGGAGCUUGCCUCCAAAGCCGCGGCUGCCCCCGCAACUGUAAGCGGCGAGUGUCUUGCCUUGAAUGCCACUGGAUUUCAUCCGGGAAGGCGGCAGGAGCGACGACCCGCGAGCCAGGAGACCUGCCGUCAGCCAUGGUCGCGC